UGACAUUGCUGUAGUCAACAACCGCUGUUCCUGUCUCCUAAAAGUGAAACUGUGAUGUAAAGUGUAAAUCUAUCGGCUCGAUUCUCGUAGAAAUUUCAGAUUGCACAACUGAUAACGGCCUGCUCGAACGAGAGAUUGGCAUCAAAUAAUUAUCCUCCGUUGGAGUCAAUUAUUUCCUCGGAAAAUCUUAAUCAAAAGAUAAUGUUUGUGACCCACCCAACAGAUCUCCGGAUUCAACAUCAUUAGAUUUCUUUAUGAGGCUGCUGUGAAUCUUUCUUAGCAAAUUUAAGAAGUAAAGCAUGGUGCAGCCAUCUAGGUCUUCGGAUUAGAUUUUUUUCUUUGGGGAAAUAAAUUAUGUGUAAUUUAAAAUACUCAUUAUAAUAUUUUGACUCUUAGAUGAAGAAAUAAAAGCAAUUUGUUAUUUAUUGA